GUAACGUCCAGGAUUCUUUUGGUCUGAUGGUAUGGGGUCAGUCCUGAUGACACUUGGCUGACCCAGGAGCCACCUUACACAGUGGGGCAGGGUUGCUCUCCAAAGGGGAAGAACCAAUCCACAGGAAGGUUCUCGCUGUGUCCUGGGUUCCUCAAGACAAGAUCCAUGUGCCAAGGUGGGCUGACCGAUGACUUGGCAUCUAGUCCUCCUCGCCUUGGUCUCCACUGGCAUAUCCUGGGAGAGAUGACAUCAUCUGUCUGCAACUGAAGUCUACCUUGUCAACCGUCCACUGCAAUGUGGGUCCCAGAACGGCUUAAAGCCUAAGGACAGGUGCUGGGGUGUGGGUAGGAGUGUCUCACCCUGGCAGGCUGCUUGGACCCCAGUCUAGCUGUUUCCUAGGUAAAAUGGGGAUGGGGAUGACAGCCUCUGGUGAAAUCCUCACCAAGAAUAAGAGGACGGUUGCAAAGAAACUGCUUAGGUAUUAGGAUGACAGGAUGCAUGGAGACAGGCCGGUUGGUCCACAGAAGGCAACCUAAGUGCUACUGAAGCUGAGACCUCCACUCGUGAGCCAUCUGAACCUCUCGAAUCAGAGCCAUGAUGAUGGCAUCCACAGCCACUUCGAGCCCUGCUGCGACAGAUCCACUCAAGUGGGAUUGUUUAAGAAAGGGCUCUGGGUCAAGGUUGACUUUUCCUUAGCAGAUAAUUUCCCCAGACACUACCAAGUCACUCUGCUAGUGUGUUCACUGAGAUAAGAGCAAAAAUAGCUCGAAAUGAAACGUCUCCCAGAGCACUUGGGAAUGCCCAAUGGAGCUGUGUAUCACUUGUGUGCUAAUUUCAAUUCUUCAUUAAUUAAGAAACAAGGCGGAGCUGAGGGGAACCCUUCAGGAGCAGUAGGUACUACAGUGUAAGACUGACUCCCAGCCUGGGGCUCUCAGCUGCACAGAGCAGAGUUCUCUGAACACCCCCUGAACCUGAGAACAGAAGCUGCUGCCGAGCCAGGAGCUGGGGCUAGCCUGUCUUCUUCAGGGCCCUGCCGUUAAUAAGAUGGUUGGUUUGGUCUGUAAGCGGAUUGUACAGCUAACUAAUGUGCCUGUACCUUGCAAUUAUUCAUGGCCUAUGAUUGCUCUGCCUGAGUUUUCAAUACAUUAUUCAUAUGCUGAAGACACUUUUCCGGAGCUUAGAGCAGGGAGGAAAAGGCAAGCCCAUGGCCAAGGCUACGUAAGAAUUUCCUCAGCAGGGAGUGGGUGAUUUAGUCUGCCAUACAGGCUGGGCAGUGGAGACAGGUAGGAGAGCUGACGGAGUCUGUGGGAAGCCUCCUGCAACUUGGGGCCCAAUCUAGUCUUUUGGAAGAGGGGCUCUUCCUCAUCCUCCUGGACUCUGCGCUGCUCUCCCAGACCGAGUACCUCUUCAUAAGCAAGGGUGGCUUCCCACCCAGAACAAUUCUCAACAGAGGAAACCAAGGCCCAAAUCAGGAGAAACUACAAUUAGAUUCAGGAGGCAUGCACAACUGUGAAUCCUGCCAGGCCUUGGAGAGGCCAGCGCUGGGUGACCUCUGAUGCCUGGAGACCUCCCUUGCCCUGGAGUCGCCCUCCCUGAGGCAAGCGCAGGAAUGGAGGGGUCAGCAUAUGCAUUCUGGAAGGCCUUAUAAUCCCAUGACCAUAAAGAGAUCAAGAUGGGUAAAAAAUACCCUGAAGAGCCGUAUAAUGAGGAAGGAAGCUUUGAACAGGACCUGUGCUGAGCGGUCAAGACGCUCGUUUUGGAAGGCUUUCUGGAAGUGGGAGGUACGCUGCUCGCCCUCUGUGAUAAAAGCUGCCGAGUCCCCAGGCGGUUACCUUGGGUCUGGGCUGUAAAUACCCAUGCCUGUUGUUGGCAUUCAUUCUUGUAAAACCUCAGUCUCAGAAGGACAGCAGCUGCUGCCACCGCUCUGUAAGGAUGUGAGCAAUGAUAUUAGGGAUGAAAAAGCUGUGACUCGACUGGGGAGGACGGGGUGUGUGGGGAGCAGAACACACAGAAUACUGAAGCCUUGUGGAAGCUCCAGAGCCCCACUGAAGAGUCAUGGGAGCUGCCAUGUUGCACUCCAUCAAGACAUCUUAAUCGGGACGCAUUUUUCCUCCACAGCACCAGCCAGAGCUGAGCUUCCCUGAGAACUCAUCUUGCCCCUUCACAGCGUGGCAGGCUGACCCUGUGGCCUCCUCAGACAGUGGAUGCUGAGGCAAUGUUAACUGGAGCCACAGGAUCACUGUGAGGGGCCUAGCAUAGGCCAGGUGUUGAGGCAACUCCACGGAGAAACGCAGACCCCCAGUCUCCACAACUCGUCUCUGCGCUAAUUUCCCCUGGAGCUCGGCGAGUUGAGCAAAGACGUCGGUAGUUAAUUCAAUAAUUAAAAACAAACAUGGCUUUA